rnacentral:rRNA from 1 species
GACGAACGCUGGCGGCGUGCUUAACACAUGCAAGUCGAACGGAAAGGCCCUGCUUUUGUGGGGUGCUCGAGUGGCGAACGGGUGAGUAACACGUGAGUAACCUGCCCUUGACUUUGGGAUAACUUCAGGAAACUGGGGCUAAUACCGGAUAGGAGCUCCUGCUGCAUGGUGGGGGUUGGAAAGUUUCGGCGGUUGGGGAUGGACUCGCGGCUUAUCAGCUUGUUGGUGGGGUAGUGGCUUACCAAGGCUUUGACGGGUAGCCGGCCUGGGAGGGUGACCGGCCACAAUGGGACUGAGAGACGGCCCAGACUCCUACGGGAGGCAGCAGUGGGGAGUAUUGCACAAUGGGCGGAAGCCUGAUGCAGCAACGCCGCGUGCGGGAUGACGGCCUUCGGGUUGUAAACCGCUUUCGCCUGUGACGAAGCGUGAGUGACGGUAAUGGGUAAAGAAGCACCGGCUAACUACGUG